CCGAGUCUUAAUUGGGCGUUAAGUUGCAGGGUAUAGACCCGAAACCCGGUGAUCUAGCCAUGGGCAGGUUGAAGGUUGGGUAACACUAACUGGAGGACCGAACCGACUAAUGUUGAAAAAUUAGCGGAUGACCUGUGGCUGGGGGUGAAAGGCCAAUCAAACCGGGAGAUAGCUGGUUCUCCCCGAAAGCUAUUUAGGUAGCGCCUCGUGAAUUCAUCUCCGGGGGUAGAGCACUGUUUCGGCUAGGGGGCCAUCCCGGCUUACCAACCCGAUGCAAACUGCGAAUACCGGAGAAUGUUAUCACGGGAGACACACGGCGGGUGCUAACGUCCGUCGUGAAGAGGGAAACAACCCAGACCGCCAGCUAAGGUCCCAAAGUCAUGGUUAAGUGGGAAACGAUGUGGGAAGGCCCAGACAGCCAGGAUGUUGGCUUAGAAGCAGCCAUCAUUUAAAGAAAGCGUAAUAGCUCACUGGUCGAGUCGGCCUGCGCGGAAGAUGUAACGGGGCUAAACCAUGCACCGAAGCUGCGGCAGCGACACUCAGGUGUUGUUGGGUAGGGGAGCGUUCUGUAAGCCUGCGAAGGUGGCCUGUGAGGGUUGCUGGAGGUAUCAGAAGUGCGAAUGCUGACAUAAGUAACGAUAAAGCGGGUGAAAAGCCCGCUCGCCGGAAGACCAAGGGUUCCUGUCCAACGUUAAUCGGGGCAGGGUGAGUCGACCCCUAAGGCGAGGCCGAAAGGCGUAGUCGAUGGGAAACGGGUUAAUAUUCCCGUACUUGGUGUUACUGCGAAGGGGGGACGGAGAAGGCUAUGUUGGCCGGGCGACGGUUGUCCCGGUUUAAGCGUGUAGGUGUGUGUUCCAGGUAAAUCCGGUUCACUUUAACACUGAGGCGUGACGACGAGGCACUACGGUGCUGAAGCAACAAAUGCCCUGCUUCCAGGAAAAGCCUCUAAGCAUCAGGUAACAUCAAAUCGUACCCCAAACCGACACAGGUGGUCAGGUAGAGAAUACCAAGGCGCUUGAGAGAACUCGGGUGAAGGAACUAGGCAAAAUGGUGCCGUAACUUCGGGAGAAGGCACGCUGACACGUAGGUGAAGUGAUUUACUCAUGGAGCUGAAGUCAGUCGAAGAUACCAGCUGGCUGCAACUGUUUAUUAAAAACACAGCACUGUGCAAACACGAAAGUGGACGUAUACGGUGUGACGCCUGCCCGGUGCCGGAAGGUUAAUUGAUGGGGUCAGCGCAAGCGAAGCUCCUGAUCGAAGCCCCGGUAAACGGCGGCCGUAACUAUAACGGUCCUAAGGUAGCGAAAUUCCUUGUCGGGUAAGUUCCGACCUGCACGAAUGGCGUAAUGAUGGCCAGGCUGUCUCCACCCGAGACUCAGUGAAAUUGAACUCGCUGUGAAGAUGCAGUGUACCCGCGGCAAGACGGAAAGACCCCGUGAACCUUUACUAUAGCUUGACACUGAACAUUGAGCCUUGAUGUGUAGGAUAGGUGGGAGGCUUUGAAGUGUGGACGCCAGUCUGCAUGGAGCCGACCUUGAAAUACCACCCUUUAAUGUUU
rnacentral:rRNA from 1 species